rnacentral:snRNA from 1 species
GAAUGUGAGGGAGAUCUUGCAUCCAUCACCCGCUUGAUCACCAAGGUUGAUUUGGCUGAUCCAGCUGACUAGGUGGUGUCCACUUCCUGCCUCACUGGUUGGUGUGCAUCCCUCCUAAAGCUGCACAACUGGUGGAAGAGGAUGACCUUCUCUCAAUAGAUGGCUGAGGAUCACCAUUAGUUUGAGGCCAGUCUUCCUAGAAUAGACCCUGACAAAGAGGUGUCU